AGAGAAGUUUGUACUUUCUGGAAUCAUAAAAAAAGAACAAAAAAAAUUUGAUCUUCAGUACAGCUGCAGGCCUGAAUUCUGAAAUUUUUUACCAAAUCUGCCAUUCAGACAGUGGCAGUAAUUGGCUCUUCUCCUCUUUUCCAAUGGAGGAAGAGAUGAACAAAUCAGAUGCCAUCUUUUCACGUCCUGCCUAUGCUCCAUCAUCUCACUCUCUCCGUCUGAUAGACUGUAUCAGGGAAGUGAACGGAGCACCUAUGGGGGAGAAGAUGGGGGAAACAGGAAUGUGAGGGGGAGGAGCUCAGACAAGGCGCAAAUUUUAAAUCUUGCGAGUUCCCCAACAUCACCAACUCCAGCUUAAAGAAAAAACUCCAGCUUGGAAAAAAAAAAAGGGUUUUGUGAAAGCUAAAUUUGGUUGAUUAAAACACAAAUGUUCUCCUUUUUUCAUCUUUUAAAUUCUCUCUAGGAGCACUUUUUUGAUGCCAGAAGUAAUGAAGGCUACAUUGCUUGGAAACUGAAAAACAUGCAGCAUGAACUCAGCAGUGGCAGUAGGUGGAGCAGCAGCAGCAGCAGUCCGUCAAGUAACAGAGGUCCACGAUUUGACAGACCUGUGACUGCAGCGCAUCAGUUGGAAGGAGAUCUGUGCAGAGAAGCCAUAUCCCUUUUGAGGCACAGCACAGAAGAAGAGCAGAUCUUCAUGAAAAUGAAGCAAACAUUUCAAUACAGACAGAUGCUAAUCCGUGAUCCUGAGAGGAGUGAGACCAUCCUGACAGUGUUCCCAAGGUUUCUGGACACAAAAGGCUUGGUGCUUCAGGAUUUCCAAAUGAUGUUUGGAGAAGAAAUCUCAUCUAAGCUGAUGGAGAAGUGGGAUACCUCACUGAAGCUGAAAGUCAUCAAAGAAGCACGCAACCUCACAAAGACGCCAAAUCUUGACAGCCUCAUUCAGUCUGCUGAGGAGAACCCUGAUGAAAAUGAUGAAUCAUCAGGUGAGACUUUUAUUAAGUCACUCAGUUCUGGUUGUCUUGAGUUUCUUAAUUUAGUUUUUACUCGUUUCAUGGAAUACAUUACGUGUGGAGAGGUAAAAAAUUUUGUUUUUAAACAACUUUUCCUCAACAUUGCUUCAACUUUGUGAGCCUGCUUAUGAAAAACUUUUACUUUUUGCAUUAUUUUCCCACAGUAAAAGCAGGGAAAGCAUGGCUGAUAUUUUUCAAUAUAAAUAUUUCUAUUCCAGCUUGGGACUUGGGACAUGGCAGCACUGUUGCUGUUGGUUUAUCUUCUUCCUCCUCCACCUGGUGGGAAAAAGAGACCUGUGAAGAUCACCGUUCGAGAAGCUGUACAUCACAUUGUGCGGUUCCAUAAAUCAUGUCGCAACCUUCAGGACACAAUUGCCUCAGUUCAAGGAAGGCAGCCCUACCUUCUGGCAGUGGAGACGUCCCGUGGCAGCAUCAAUGACUACUACAUCGUGGUGGACAGUCAGCUCAUCCCCUGCAAGGCCAUGUCUUCACUGUCAGCCUUUGAUGAACUUUUCAAAGCGCACUAUGUGUUUGGCAUCUCCUAUGAUCCAGCCCUGCACAACAUGUACACUUUUGUGCAGACCACCAUUUACAACAUUGAUGUUGGCCUCUGCCAUGAAAGCCCCAGGGUGAUUGAUCUCAGAGUCAAGCUUCAUAAUUGAGUAAGAGGAUUUAAUAAAAGUAAUGAUCAGGUGUUUUGUUUGCAAACGUAACAGCAGUUCUACCAAAGAUUUGUUUCGCCAUUUUAAAUCCUUAUUUUUAUUGUCCGAUUUUUGUGUAUGUUUUGAUUUUGCUACCUUUUGUUUUUUCUCUUUGGUUUUUGCUUGUUGUUUUCCUUUGGUUAUGGCCCAUAUCGGAUAUUGGCAGUCUGUAAGUGCAUUCUUGAUGUGUUUUUCCUCCUCCUGUCUGUCUUUAUCGUCCGUUAUUAUGCUAGUCCGUUCAUAGAGUGUUCUAACUACUGAUAAUUUGUGUGCUGUGGGAUGUUCUGAUGUCCAGAGGAGGUACUGGUCCGUGUGUGUAGGCUUUUUAUAAACUGUUAUUUUAAUGCUGCCGUCUUGUUUGUGAUUUAUGUUUAUGUCCAAAAAUGAGAUGGUCCGGUUUAUUUCUUCCACUGUUUCUUGGGAGUUCACAAGUUUGUUCCAGUCUUGGCAGCACAGGGCGAUAUGGGCUGGGUUCCUGGAUAUAUCUUAAGGAAAUGUGAAAUGGUUAGACUGUGGAACCUUAUUAUUUAUAUGUCUGAUAACGGAAUAACAAAAACGGUCUUCCUUUGGAGUAAAUCUAACUCUCCCUGGCUGCGGAGCUUCGAGCAGUCUUUAACGAAGCACAGCUUCUUUAUAUAUUUCAUAACAAUUUGCCCUGCAAUAUUAAAGACAUUCAAACUAAAUUAUUGUCAAUAUUUAAAGAAAGGUGGAAAAGUGAGAUUUUGACUACGGACUUAUGUUCAGAUAAAGGAUGAUUUCGAGGCAGAAUUUUACAUUACAUCUAAUCUGACAAGGAGCCAGAUUUAAUGUAAUUGCUCAAUUACUCAAUUGCUCAAUUACGAACUGGAAUUCUACCUCUGACUUUAGAGACUGGAAGGUUCUCACAAACACCUGAGGAAAAGAGACUGUGGACGAUGUAAAGUGGGAGAAGUUGAGAGUGAAUCUCAUUUUUUGUUGUAUUGUUCUUUUUAUGAUGACCUCAGAAAUGUUUUGUUCAGUGAAGUAUCUGUUAAAAAGCUUGAUUUGUUCUGGUGUAGUGACGAUGACAAGAUGAAAUAUUUAUGUACAUAUAAUGCUUAUAACCUGGCUCGAUUUGUUUGUAAAGCCUGGAAAAGGCGGCAGACUUCUUUAUUUAAAUAAUGAAAUUCUAAAAUGUGUUUAUUGUGCCUACUGUCUGGCAAUUGGCUUGGUGUUUAUUUUGGUGUCUUAUAAACCAAUGUUAGGGCUGAGCAUACUAA